UGCCGCUGGCCUCGCGUUCCACCCUGUCGUCAAGCCAUCGUGUCGGAGCUAGCAUUCCCCUGCCCCCGAGCUCCACCCCGACAUCCACCCGUCCUUGCGCUCCACCCCUUCCCCCAAGACCGAACCGCCGUCCUCGGGCCGCCCCCUCGACAUCCAGCCGUCGUCCUUGCCAAUCCCCGUUUCUGCUGCAGUCGGGGCCCCAUCUCCUGGCUCCCGCUGCUGCCGCACCUGCUGUUGUCAGGGCUCCAUCUUUGGGCUCUCGCUGCUGCCGGACCUGCUGAACGGGACCUGCUGCUGCUGGGGAUCCAUCCCCUUCGAGUUGCGCCCCUCUCGAAGCCAGCCGUCGCCGUGCCCUGAGUGUCAUACAGGUGGAUAGUUGUUCAACAAAAUGAUAUCUGAACUUCAAGCUGGUACCAUAAAAAAAUAUUUGCUUCGGUGUUCUGAAGUUUCUCGAUGAAGUUAAUAUAUUUGACCAUUAGCGACACCCUUCACCAUAAGGCAUAGAUGUACCAAAUCUUCUCCUAUAGCUUUAUUGUCUUAACUGCUUGUAGAACUGUAAUGCAAGUUAGUUUAUUAUUGAAGAAAAAUUCAUUUAUUAUGAUACUGUCAGCUUGUGCUUAAUUUUGUGAUUGCUGAAGGUAAGGAAAAGAGAUGGUGCAGAAGGAGCUUCAGCAGGCACGAUGGUUCGACAACCACAAUGUCGUAAGGCCAUCCCCAUUGCCCGGUAACACUAUUUCAGCCGAGAACCACGACUGCCAGCAUGCAGCAUGAGCAAUGGGUAUAGAAUGGAUGACUACCUCGCUGGGAAACAUGGUUGCGCACGUGCAGCAGAAAACGAAUGGGGGAUGGAAAGGCUACCUCACCGGGAACAAGGGCCACGACUUGUAGUGGGCAACUACUAGGCAUUUAGCCAGGUGCACAUGGACGUGAUGACUUUGCAGUGCUUAUGGACCAACCAACCUGUAAUCAUGGGUCCUUAUGUGUCUUCAAGAUAAUUUGAUGUUUCGUCUAUUUUGGAGCUUGCACUCUGUGCAUGUGGAUACAUACUUGUUUGGUCUGGAGCUAGACCAUCUAGCUGAAGUCUCUCGUACCAGUAAAUAGUGCUCAUCCUUUUGUGACUUGUGUGAUCUGGAGCUAGACCAUCUAGCUGAAGUCUCUCGUACCAGCAAAUAGUGCUCAUCCUUUUGUGACUUGUGUGUUCUGGAGCUAGACCAUCUAGCUGAAGUCUCUCGUACCGGCAAAUAGUGCUCAUCCUUUUGUGACUUGUGUGUUCUGGGUGAUUGUUAAGAUGGUCAAAACUAUGCUUUGUCAAGAUUGUUGUGUUUGUCAACUUGCGUUCGGUGUAUAUGCAUGUUUGUGAACAUAUUUUCAUUUUUAUACAGUAUGUGUUCAUCUUGAA